rnacentral:rRNA from 1 species
UCUGUGAAAUUCCGGGGNUUAACUUCGGGGUGGCAGGCGAUACGGGCAUAACUAGAGUGCUGUAGGGGUGACUGGAAUUCCUGGUGUAGCGGUGGAAUGCGCAGAUAUCAGGAGGAACACCGAUGGCGAAGGCAGGUCUCUGGNCAGUAACUGACGCUGAGGAGCGAAAGCAUGGGGAGCGAACAGGAUUAGAUACCCUGGUAGUCCAUGCUGUAAACGGUGGGCGUUAGGUGUGGGGACCGGUUUGGUUUCUGUGCCGUAGCUAACGCAUUAAGCGCCCCGCCUGGGGAGUACGGCCGCAAGGCUAAAACUCAAAGGAAUUGACGGGGGCCCGCACAAGCGGCGGAGCAUGUGGAUUAAUUCGAUGCAACGCGAAGAACCUUACCUGGGUUUGACAUGCACCAGACGGUUGUAGAGAUACGUACCUCCCUUUGUGGUUGGUGUGCAGGUGGUGCAUGGUUGUCGUCAGCUCGUGUCGUGAGAUGUUGGGUUAAGUCCCGCAACGAGCGCAACCCUUGUCUUAUGUUGCCAGCACUUUGGGUGGGGACUCAUGAGAGACUGCCGGGGUUAACUCGGAGGAAGGUGGGGAUGACGUCAAAUCAUCAUGCCCUUUAUGCCCAGGGCUUCACACAUGCUACAAUGGUUAGUACAACGCGCUGCGAGCCUGUGAGGGUGAGCGAAUCGCUGAAAGCUAAUCUCAGUUCGGAUUGGGGUCUGCAACUCGACCCCAUGAAGUCGGAGUCGCUAGUAAUCGCAGAUCAGCAAUGCUGCGGUGAAUACGUUCCCGGGCCUUGUACACACCGCCCGUCACG